GACGAAGGGGGCUAGCGUUGUUCGGAAUUACUGGGCGUAAAGCGCACGUAGGCGGCUUUGUAAGUUAGAGGUGAAAGCCCAGGGCUUAACCCUGGAAUUGCCUUUAAGACUGCAUCGCUCGAAUUGUGGAGAGGUGAGUGGAAUUCCGAGUGUAGAGGUGAAAUUCGUAGAUAUUCGGAAGAACACCAGUGGCGAAGGCGACUCACUGGCCCGAUACUGACGCUGAGGCACGAAAGCGUGGGGAGCAAACAGG
rnacentral:rRNA from 1 species